rnacentral:rRNA from 1 species
UACGUAGGGGGCGAGCGUUGUCCGGAUUUAUUGGGCGUAAAGAGCUCGUAGGCGGCUUGUUGCGUCGACUGUGAAAACCCGCGGCUUAACUGCGGGCUUGCAGUUGAUACGGGCAGGCUAGAGUUCGGUAGGGGAGACUGGAAUUCCUGGUGUAGCGGUGAGAUGCGCAGAUAUCAGGAAGAACACCCGUGGCGAAGGCGGUUCUCUGGGACGGUACUGACGCUGAGACGCGAAAGCGUGGGGAGCGAACAGG